AUAAAAUCUUUCAUCUGCAUAUUUAUUGCAUUAAUAAAUAUUUUUACCCGUUAGUUUAAGCUUUCAAAUCAGUUGAAACUCUUAAUAUUUUGGGGCAAUUAUUUAUAUACUCAUAAAAAGUUUCUAAUUUAUCAUUCUUAAAAGGCUAAUAUUAAAAAUAUCUUUUUUUACGUUCCAAUCUAUUUCAAAUAUAUUCCUAAAAUUAAAAUAUAUUUAUAAACUGUUAGCAAUAAUUGGAAUUUCUAUAAAAUUACUAUUUUACCCUUUCAAAUAUACUCUUCUACCAUCACCGACUUUUCAUAUUUGCCUUGAAGUUAGGGGCACAAAAAGUAUUUUAUUUUUUGGUCUUUUCAAAUAUGCUUUUUUACCAACACUAACAUUUCUUAUUUGCCCUUAAAUUAAGCACAAAAGAGGCAUUUUGAUUUUUCUAACUGUGAUUGAUACUUAACUUACGUUUAAUCUAAGUUAACUUAACGAGUGAUAUCUGUAGGAUAUUAAUAACGGAGGAACAUAUGAGGAAUAUAUUAAAAAGAAAAAAAGUAUAAAUAAAUAAGAUAUUUUUUUUAUUUUUUUUUUUUUUUUUUUUUUUUU
rnacentral:lncRNA from 1 species